CCUACGGGGGGCUGCAGUGGGGAAUUUUGGACAAUGGACGAAAGUCUGAUCCAGCAAUGCCGCGUGCAGGACGAAGGCCUUCGGGUUGUAAACUGCUUUUGUACGGAACGAAACGGUCUUCUUUAAUACAGAGGGCUAAUGACGGUACCGUAAGAAUAAGCACCGGCUAACUACGUGCCAGCAGCCGCGGUAAUACGUAGGGUGCGAGCGUUAAUCGGAAUUACUGGGCGUAAAGCGUGCGCAGGCGGUUAUAUAAGUCAGAUGUGAAAUCCCCGGGCUCAACCUGGGACCUGCAUUUGAGACUGUAUAGCUAGAGUACGGUAGAGGGGGAUGGAAUUCCGCGUGUAGCAGUGAAAUGCGUAGAUAUGCGGAGGAACACCGAUGGCGAAGGCAAUCCCCUGGACCUGUACUGACGCUCAUGCACGAAAGCGUGGGGAGCAAACAGGAUUAGAUACCCAAGUAGUC
rnacentral:rRNA from 1 species